rnacentral:miRNA from 1 species
UGUGUGCUCCGUGUGUGGAUGUACAUGUACAUGUGAGCGACCUGCAUGCAUGUGCACAUGUUCACAAGCAAGUGCACAUGUAUGUGAUUAUGUGUGCAUGUGUAUCUAUGUG